AGUGAACGCUGGCGGUAGGCCUAACACAUGCAAGUCGAACGGCAGCACAGUAAGAGCUUGCUCUUACGGGUGGCGAGUGGCGGACGGGUGAGGAAUACAUCGGAAUCUACUUUUUCGUGGGGGAUAACGUAGGGAAACUUACGCUAAUACCGCAUACGACCUACGGGUGAAAGCAGGGGAUCUUCGGACCUUGCGCGAUUGAAUGAGCCGAUGUCGGAUUAGCUAGUUGGCGGGGUAAAGGCCCACCAAGGCGACGAUCCGUAGCUGGUCUGAGAGGAUGAUCAGCCACACUGGAACUGAGACACGGUACAAGCCCCUACGGGAGGCAGCAGUGGGGAAUAUUGGAAAAUGGGCGCAAGCCUGAACCAGCCAUACCGCGUGGGUGAAGAAGGCCUUGGGGUUGUAAAGCCCUUUUGUUGGGAAAAAAAAGGAGCAGGUUAACACCCCGGUGUUCUGACGGUACCAAAAGAAUAAGCACCGGCUAACUUCUU
rnacentral:rRNA from 1 species